rnacentral:rRNA from 1 species
AGAGAGAGACAUGCGCGCAUAUCAAUAAGCGGAGGAAAAGAAACUAACAAGGAUUCCCUUAGUAACGGCGAGUGAAGCGGGAAGAGCUCAAAUUUGAAAUCUUCAAGGUUCUACCUUGACGAAUUGUAGUUUAUAGAAGUGUUUUCUGUUAGUGGAGUGGCAAAAGUUCUUUGGAAUAGGACAUCAUAGAGGGUGAGAAUCCCGUAUUUGGUCAUUCCUCCUAGCGUUGUGAUACACUUUCAACGAGUCGGAUUGUUUGGGAAUGCAGUCCAAAAUGGGUGGUAAAUUUCAUCUAAAGCUAAAUAUUGGCGAGAGACCGAUAGCGAACAAGUACCGUGAGGGAAAGAUGAAAAGAACUUUGAAAAGAGAGUUAAACAGUACGUGAAAUUGUCAAAAGGGAAGCGUUUGACACCAGUGUUGUUUUUCCGAAAAUCAAUUACGAAUGUUUUAUUUUUGAGGAGUUAUGACUUCAUCGGCUUGCUCCUUUCUUUACUGAAACCUUCUUAAUGCACUUUUCGGUUAACAAGUCAACAUCAAUUUCUUUUGUUGUAAAAGGGUAUGAGGAAGGUGGCUUUCUUUUCGGAGAAAGUGUUUAUAGCCUCGUGCCUCUGCAAUCGGAGAGAUUGAGGUCUGCAGCGUAGAUCCUUCGGGGUUAGAUACAGUUUGUGCUAAGUUAUAGCUUUUCAUAGACAACUUGUUGGACUAUGUUUAGUCUUGUAGCUUACUCGCUGAUGCUAUUUUACCUACGCUUAGGAUGUUGAUAGUCACAGCGUGUAC